GUCACUGCUAUUGGGAUUCGACUAAGCCAUGCGAGUCGAGAGGGUUCGGCCCUCGGCUGACGGCUCAGUAACACGUGGAUAAUCUGCCCUUAGGUGGAGGAUAACCUCGGGAAACUGAGAAUAAUACUCCAUAGGUCUAGGAUGCUGGAAUGCACUUAGGCUCAAAGCUCCGGCGCCUAAGGAUGGGUCUGCGGCCUAUCAGGUUGUAGUGAGUGUAACGGACUCACUAGCCUACGACGGGUACGGGCCCUGAGAGGGGGAGCCCGGAGAUGGACUCUGAGACACGAGUCCAGGCCCCAAGGGGCGCAGCAGCUACGAAAACUUCACAAUGCGGGAAACCGCGAUGAGGGGAUUCCAAGUGCUGCAGUAUAACUGUAGCUGUUUAGUUGCCUAAAAAGCAAGUAGAGUAAGGGCUGGGUAAGACUGGUGCCAGCCGCCGCGGUAAUACCAGCAGCCCGAGUGGUGACCACUUUUAUUGGGCCUAAAGCGUCCGUAGCCUGUUUGGUAAACCCUUGGGUAAAUCGAGCAGCUUAACUGUUCGACUUCUGAGGAGACUGCCAGACUUGGGACCGGGAGAGGUUGGAAGUACUUUUGGGGUAGGGGUGAAAUCCUGUAAUCCCAAAAGGACUACCGGUGGCGAAGGCGUCCAACUAGAACGGGUCCGACGGUAAGGGACGAAGCCCUGGGUCACGAACCGGAUUAGAUACCCGGGUAGUCCAGGGUGUAAACGCUGCAGGCUUGGUGUUGGGGGUCCUACGAGGGCGUCCAGUGCCGGAGAGAAGUUGUUAAGCCUGCCGCCUGGGGAGUACGGUCGCAAGACUGAAACUUAA
rnacentral:rRNA from 1 species